rnacentral:rRNA from 1 species
GAUGAACGCUGGCGGCGUGCCUAAUACAUGCAAGUCGAGCGAACAGACGAGGAGCUUGCUCCUCUGACGUUAGCGGCGGACGGGUGAGUAACACGUGGAUAACCUACCUAUAAGACUGGGAUAACUUCGGGAAACCGGAGCUAAUACCGGAUAAUAUAUUGAACCGCAUGGUUCAAUAGUGAAAGACGGUUUUGCUGUCACUUAUAGAUGGAUCCGCGCCGCAUUAGCUAGUUGGUAAGGUAACGGCUUACCAAGGCAACGAUGCGUAGCCGACCUGAGAGGAUGAUCGGCCACACCGGAACUGAGACACGGUCCAGACUCCUACGGGAGGCAGCAGUAGGGAAUCUUCCGCAAUGGGCGAAAGCUUGACGGAGCAACGCCGCGUGAGUGAUGAAGGUCUUCGGAUCGUAAAACUCUGUUAUUAGGGAAGAACAAAUGUGUAAGUAACUAUGCACGUCUUGACGGUACCUAAUCAGAAAGCCACGGCUAACUACGUG